rnacentral:rRNA from 1 species
GACGAAGGGGGCUAGCGUUGUUCGGAAUUACUGAGCGUAAAGCGCGUGUAGGCGGUUGUCCAAGUUGGAUGUGAAAGCCUUGAGCUCAACUCAAGAAAUGCAUUCAGGACUGGAUGACUAGAGGACCGGAGAGGAUAGUGGAAUUCCCAGUGUAGUGGUGAAAUACGUAGAGAUUGGGAAGAACACCAGUGGCGAAGGCGGCUAUCUGGACGGUUUCUGACGCUAAGACGCGAAAGCGUGGGGAGCAAACAGG